GAUCAUGGCUCAGGAUGAACGCUAGCUACAGGCUAACACAUGCAAGUCGAGGGGUAGCAGGGUAGCAAUACCGCUGACGACCGGCGCACGGGUGAGUAACACGUAUCCAACCUUCCCAUAACUCAGGGAUAGCCUUUCGAAAGAAAGAUUAAUACCUGAUAGUACUUUUUCAAGGCAUCUUGAGAAAGUUAAAGAUUUAUUGGUUAUGGAUGGGGAUGCGUUCCAUUAGAUAGUUGGUGAGGUAACGGCUCACCAAGUCUUCGAUGGAUAGGGGUUCUGAGAGGAAGGUCCCCCACAUUGGUACUGAGACACGGACCAAACUCCUACGGGAGGCAGCAGUGAGGAAUAUUGGUCAAUGGGCGAGAGCCUGAACCAGCCAAGUAGCGUGAAGGAUGAAGGUCCUAUGGAUUGUAAACUUCUUUUAUAGUAGAAUAAAGUGAUCCACGUGUGGAUUUUUGUAUGUAUACUAUGAAUAAGGAUCGGCUAACUCCGUGCCAGCAGCCGC
rnacentral:rRNA from 1 species